rnacentral:lncRNA from 1 species
AUGCCCCGAUGAGCAGGGUGUCAGCUCCCUUGUAGCUGGUGAAGGAGUUCCUGCUGACUUCGUCUUGCUGGAGGAAACCUUGACCAGUUGCUCAGUUGUCACAAGAGGAACUUGUGUGACCGGCUGCGCGCAAGAUUCUUCCGACAGCAGUGUCCGAGGCACUGAACAAGCUUCGCAAGACUCUACUGAAGACGUGUGCGCCAACAGCUCCACGACUG